rnacentral:piRNA from 1 species
UGCAGAAAAGACAGCAGUACCAGGGC